rnacentral:rRNA from 1 species
CACGUAGGGUGCGAGCGUUGUCCGGAAUUAUUUGGGCGUAAAGAGCUCGUAGGCGGUGUGUCGCGUCGGCCGUGAAAACCUGCAGCUUAACUGUGGGCUUGCGGUCGAUACGGGCAUCACUGGAGUUCGGGCAGGGGAGACUGGAAUUCCUGGUGUAGCGGUGAAAUGCGCAGAUAUCAGGAGGAACACCUGUGGUGUAGACAGCUUCUGGGACCAUUUCUG